rnacentral:rRNA from 1 species
GAUGAACGCUGGCGGCGUGCCUAAUACAUGCAAGUCGAGCGAACAGACGAGGAGCUUGCUCCUCUGACGUUAGCGGCGGACGUGUGAGUAACACGUGGAUAACCUACCUAUAAUACUGGUAUAACUUCGGGAAACCGGAGCUAAUACCGGAUAAUAUAUUGAACCGCAUGGUUCAAUAGUGAAAGACGGUUUUGCUGUCACUAAUAGAUGGAUCCGCGCCGGAUUAGCUAGUUGGUAAGGUAACGGCUUACGAAGGCAACGAUGCGUAGCCGACCUGAGAGGGUGAUCGGCCACUGUGGAACUGAGACGCGGUACAGACUCCGACGGGAGGCAGAAGCAGGGAAUCUUCCGAAAUGGGCGAAAGCCUGACGGAGCAACGCAGCGUGAGUGAUGAAGGUCUGCGGAUCGUAAAACUGUGUUAUUAGGGAAGAACAAAUGUGUAAGUAACUAUGCACGUCUUGACGGUACCUAAGAAGAAAGCCACGGCUAACUACGU